GCCUAGGUCGGAUUAGCUAGUAGGUGAGGUAAAGGCUCACCUAGGCGACGAUCCGUAACUGGUCUGAGAGGAUGAUCAGUCACACUGGAACUGAGACACGGUCCAGACUCCUACGGGAGGCAGCAGUGGGGAAUAUUGGACAAUGGGCGAAAGCCUGAUCCAGCCAUGCCGCGUGUGUGAAGAAGGUCUUCGGAUUGUAAAGCACUUUAAGUUGGGAGGAAGGGCAGUAAGUUAAUACCUUGCUGUUUUGACGUUACCAACAGAAUAAGCACCGGCUAACUUCGUGCCAGCAGCCGCGGUAAUACGAAGGGUGCAAGCGUUAAUCGGAAUUACUGGGCGUAAAGCGCGCGUAGGUGGUUCAGCAAGUUGGAGGUGAAAUCCCCGGGCUCAACCUGGGAACUGCCUCCAAAACUACUGAGCUAGAGUACGGUAGAGGGUAGUGGAAUUUCCUGUGUAGCGGUGAAAUGCGUAGAUAUAGGAAGGAA
rnacentral:rRNA from 1 species